rnacentral:rRNA from 1 species
CUACGGGGUGCAGCAGUAAGGAAUAUUGCGCAAUGGAGGCAACUCUGACGCAGCCAUGCCGCGCGCAGGAAGAAGGCCUUAUGGGUCGUAAACUGCUUUUAUUUAGGAAUAAACCCCCGAACGUGUUCGGGGCUGAAGGUACUAAACGAAUAAGCACCGGCUAACUCCGGGCCAGCAGCCGCGGUAAUACGGAGGGUGCAAGCGUUAUCCGGAUUUAUUGGGUUUAAAGGGUGCGCAGGCGGGCUAUUAAGUCAGUGGUGAAAUCCCGGGGCUCAACUCCGGAACUGCCAUUGAUACUGAUAGUCUUGAGUUUGGUUGAAGUGGGCGGAAUGUAGCAUGUAGCGGUGAAAUGCAUAGAUAUGCUACAGAACACCAAUCGCGAAGGCAGCUCACUAAGCCAAAACUGACGCUCAUGCACGAAAGCGUGGGGAUCAAACAGGAUUAGAUACCCGAGUAGUC